rnacentral:lncRNA from 1 species
GACCCCAAAUCCAGGUACUUGCAACCCGAACUCGGUUCUCCACGAUACCAUUUCUUUAAGCUGAAUAAUACUAAAUAAUAAUACAUUCGAACUUAAUUUACAUACAUCAAAGUUUACUUCCCCAGGUACGUGACCUUCAAAUACAUUCCUUACAAUACCUGACAAUAGAUUCCAUUGUCUUACUAACUAUAACCAUUAACUCAUAAUAUAAACUCAUUCGAAC